CAUUUUUCCAAGGAUAUCGGUAAUUAAAAAUGCGACAUUACCUAAUUUAUGGAAAAUUGUCAAAAUGAUCUCUCGCUUUCACCGGAAUAUUCAUUGUUGAUGUGUAUAAAUAUAUCUAUUCCAGAAUUCGAAGGCGGCUCAGUAUACGAGAGAGAGAUGCGUAUCGAUCGCGUGCGCUGCUGACUCGGCAGGUGGCUGGUACGCUUCAGGGUGGCGUAGCCUGGAACACGCACCAAGCAAACUUACAGUAUCUUUAACAAUUAUCAAAACAUCAAGAAAAGAACAAAGGUGAAAAUAAAUUUUAAACUCAAAAGUUUGUAUGGCUCGGGGAUCAACUGUCGGCAACAUUCCAUGACAAUUGGAGCAUCGAUACGCUUUAAGCUGAAACCUCACUAAGCAAGCGAUAGAAUGAACUAACGUCGUUCACACUAUAUACAAGCUGAAGCGACACAACGAGCUGAUAUCUGACAAUUUAAGAAAAACAAGAGCACCAUAAUUCUCGUGCCGGUUGAUCAGAUACUGCCGUAAUGGCAAUAAUGGAUCCUGGUCAGCGGCCCGCAUGCAAAUAAAUCUGCGGCCCGAUGCAAUGAUGUGUGGAAAAUGGGGCUCACCCCUUUUGCCCAGUCGUGUCCCACCUACGCUGAUCUGCUGGCCCGAUGCUGUUUUAGUAACAAAUGUAAUGAACUAAACUUUUUACGCAGCCGCUAUUGAAGGAGUCAUUAUGUCUUUGGUGGAUGAGUAUUAUGUAUAUGUAGAUAAACCUGAGGUUAUAAACGGCACGGUACAUAAAGAUUAAAUAAACCUUCGCAGUCUACGCUCAAUUAGCCAUGAAACUAAUAGGGAGGCGGUGAGAAAGAAUGAGGUGCAUUAAAGGUGUUUGUAGUACGCCUGGGCACAGAGCAGCCAUCUGUCCUGCCGUAGUCCCACAAACUCACGAUAGGGCAGUCAGUACCUCCGAAUAAUGGACACAAGACGAGAGGGGACCGACUAUAAGUCACAAAGAGCUAUCCUUUAUCAGCGAAUCAAUGACCGCCCGUUAUGAUACAUGGGACUUACCGGGUACAGUUUUAGCUAUCUCUGAAGAAAUGUAAUAUUUAUAAGGGUAAGCCUCGUUAAAAUCUUUAU